CGUCCAUUGGUCGAAAAUUGAUUAAUUUGUGUUGCAUAGAUCUUAAUUUCCGAUUCAUAUUAUGUUCUUGGUCCUCAGGUAAAAGUAGUACUUUUAGCAAUAAUGUUUAGGGAAGUAAAAUACAAAUACAAAUGCAAUACUAUUAGUUUUGAAGUGAAGGGAAUUCCUACGGCAGGUUGUUGAUCAUGACCCCUACAAUCCCCACCCCCCUGCAUCCGCCUAUUGAAUUGAUGACCUUUUUGGAAAAGAAUAUAAGUCUUAGAAGUUUGACCCCGAUUGUUACGCUUUUAGUCGCUAGACAAUUCGUCAGGCUGCAGCCAGAGAUCUGUAGAUCAUUCAGUCAACAUAAAGUUACUGUACAGUACAUACUUGUUCGUUUAUUUAAUUUUUUUUUUUUUUUUAAGAAAACUAUCGUUACGAAAUUUUUCAAUUUUAUCACAAUUAUAAAUCAGAAAAUUUCUUCAAAGGAACUCACAGCUUAAAAAUUAGUUUAAAAAACAAAACUAUUUCUAUAUUAUUUACUGCAAUCAUGAAAUUCAUUCAAAUUUCGGUCAUUGUUUGUGUGAUUUUUUUAAAUGCAGUUCAUGGACAUAAGAUUUCUAAACGAGAUGAUGCAAAAGAAAAAACCGACAUGUCUGAUGAAAAAAAUUCAGAUACGGCAGACUCCGACGACAAAAAUGAUUCAGGAGGAUCUGAUUCUUCCAAAUCAGCUGACAAAGGUCCACGCAAACAUAAACCUAAAUCGAGUGGAGUUUCUUCUAAUUUGGAAUUUAAUAUGAAGUAUUUUAUUGAAGCAUUGAUAAUCAUGAAGUUAUUCUGUCUAUCUAAAUUGUUUGCAUAAUAAUCUUUUGUUUGUUGUUAAUUUUUUUUUUUGGAAAUUUUUGUUAUUUUUUUUGAAUUUUGAAUAAAUUGAAUUGAAUAAAAUUUAA